rnacentral:rRNA from 1 species
UACGGAGGGUGCAAGCGUUGCCCGGAAUCACUGGGCGUAAAGGGCGCGUAGGCGCUCAUGAAGGCUGUGGUGAAAGUCCGGGGCUCAACCUCGGAUCGGCCGUGGCGACUCGUGGGCUGGAGCACUGUAGAGGCGGGUGGAAUUCCGGGUGUAGCGGUGGAAUGCGUAGAGAUCCGGAAGAACACCAGUGGCGAAGGCGGCCUUCUGGACAGUGACUGACGCUGAGACGCGAAAGCGUGGGGAGCAAACAGG